rnacentral:rRNA from 1 species
AGUUGAUGCCUAAAUACCCUAAAAGCACCAGAUCCCUUUUGAUCUUGGAAGUUAAGUAGGAUCAACCUGGAUUAAUACUUCUAUGGGAAACCUCCAACAAAUUUCAGAGGAAGGAACUG